UGGGGAAUUUUGGACAAUGGGCGCAAGCCUGAUCCAGCCAUGCCGCGUGCAGGAUGAAGGCCCUCGGGUUGUAAACUGCUUUUGUACGGAACGAAAAGCCUCUUUCUAAUAAAGAGGGGUGAUGACGGUACCGUAAGAAUAAGCACCGGCUAACUACGUGCCAGCAGCCGCGGUAAUACGUAGGGUGCGAGCGUUAAUCGGCAUUACUGGGCGUAAAGCGUGCGCAGGCGGUCUUGCAAGACAGUGGUGAAAUCCCCGGGCUCAACCUGGGAACUGCCAUUGUGACUGCAAGGCUGGAGUACGGCAGAGGGGGAUGGAAUUCCGCGUGUAGCAGUGAAAUGCGUAGAUAUGCGGAGGAACACCGAUGGCGAAGGCAGUCCCCUGGGCCUGUACUGACGCUCAUGCGCGAAAGCGUUGGGAGCAAACA
rnacentral:rRNA from 1 species